rnacentral:rRNA from 1 species
CGUUGGCGGCGUGGAUUAGGCAUGCAAGUCGCGCGAGAAAUUUUCUUCGGAAAGUGGAAAGCGGCGGAAGGGAGAGGAUAAGGUAGAGAUCUACCCUCGGGACGGGGAUAGCUGCGGGAAACUGCUGGUAAUACCCGAUAAUAUCUUUGGAUCAAAGGUGUGAUUCCGCCUGGGGAUGAGUCUACUUCCUAUUAGCUAGUUGGCAGGGUAAUGGCCUACCAAGGCAACGAUGGGUAGCGGGUGUGAGAGCAUGACCCGCCUCACUGGGACUGAGAACUGCCCAGACACCUACGGGUGGCUGCAGUCGAGAAUCUUCGGCAAUGGGCGCAAGCCUGACCGAGCGACGCCGCGUGCGGGAUGAAGGCCUUCGGGUUGUAAACCGCUGUCGUAGGGGAACAAAUGUAGUGGGGUUCUCCCCAUUACUUGAGUGAUCCUAGGAGGAAGGGGAGGCUAAGCUCGUGCCAGCAGCCGCGGUAAGACGAGCUCCCCGAACGUUAUUCGGGAAUUACUUGGCGUAAAGCGUGCGCAGGCGGUUUUGUAAGACAGGCGUGAAAUCCCCGGGCUCAACCUGGGAACUGCGUUUGUGACUGCAAGGCUAGAGUAUGGCAGAGGGGGGUGGAAUUCCACGUGUAGCAGUGAAAUGCGUAGAGAUGUGGAGGAACACCAAUGGCGAAGGCAGCCCCCUGGGCCAAUACUGACGCUCAUGCACGAAAGCGUGGGGAGCAAACAGGAUUAGAUACCCUGGUAGUCCACGCCCUAAACGAUGUCAACUAGGUGUUGGGUGGGUAAAACCAUUUGGUACCGUAGCUAACGCGUGAAGUUGACCGCCUGGGGAGUACGGCCGCAAGGUUAAAACUCAAAGGAAUUGACGGGGACCCGCACAAGCGGUGGAUGAUGUGGAUUAAUUCGAUGCAACGCGAAAAACCUUACCUACCCUUGACAUGCCAGGAACUUGCCAGAGAUGGCUUGGUGCCCGAAAGGGAGCCUGGACACAGGUGCUGCAUGGCUGUCGUCAGCUCGUGUCGUGAGAUGUUGGGUUAAGUCCCGCAACGAGCGCAACCCUUGUCGUUAAUUGCCAUCAUUUAGUUGGGCACUUUAACGAGACUGCCGGUGACAAACCGGAGGAAGGUGGGGAUGACGUCAAGUCCUCAUGGCCCUUAUGGGUAGGGCUUCACACGUCAUACAAUGGUCGGUACAAAGGGUUGCCAAGCCGCGAGGCGGAGCCAAUCCCAGAAAGCCGAUCGUAGUCCGGAUCGCAGGCUGCAACUCGCCUGCGUGAAGUCGGAAUCGCUAGUAAUCGUGGAUCAGCAUGUCACGGUGAAUACGUUCCCGGGUCUUGUACACACCGCCCGUCACACCAUGGGAGCGGGUUCCGCCAGAAGUAGGUAGCCUAACCGCAAGGAGGGCGCUUGCCACGGCGGGGUUCGUGACUGGGGUGAAGUCGUAACAAGGUA